GACGUAGGGCGCGAGCGUUGUCCGGAUUUAUUGGGCGUAAAGAGCUCGUAGGUGGCGGGUCACGUCGGGUGUGAAAGCCCGGGGCUUAACUCCGGGUCUGCAUUCGAUACGGGUCUGCUGGGGUCCGGCAGGGGAGACUGGAAUUCCUGGUGUAGCGGUGAAAUGCGCAGAUAUCAGGAGGAACACCGGUGGCGAAGGCGGGUCUCUGGGCCGGUACCGACGCUGAGGAGCGAAAGCGUGGGGAGCGAACAGG
rnacentral:rRNA from 1 species